GACGAACGCUGGCGGCGUGCUUAACACAUGCAAGUCGUACGGUAAGGCCCUUUCGGGGGUACACGAGUGGCGGACGGGUGAGUAACACGUGAGUAACCUGCCCACAACUUUGGGAUAACGCUAGGAAACUGGUGCUAAUACUGGAUAUGUGCUCCUGCUGCAUGGUGGGGGUUGGAAAGCUCCGGCGGUUGUGGAUGGACUCGCGGCCUAUCAGCUUGUUGGUGGGGUAGUGGCCUACCAAGGCGGCGACGGGUAGCCGGCCUGAGAGGGUGACCGGCCACAGUGGGACUGAGAUACGGCCCAGACUCCUACGGGAGGCAGCAGUGGGGAAUAUUGCACAAUGGGCGCAAGCCUGAUGCAGCAACGCCGCGUGCGGGAUGACGGCCUUCGGGUUGUAAACCGCUUUCAGCAGGGACGAAGCUUUUUGUGACGGUACCUGCAGAAGAAGCACCGGCUAACUACGUG
rnacentral:rRNA from 1 species